rnacentral:misc_RNA from 1 species
CACAUCAGGGCUUUCUGGUUUCUGUAAACGGCGUUCCGACUCUGCAUAAGGUUUAUUUAUAGGUGACUCUGAGCUUUUAUCAUCAAAGGAAUCAACUUUGUCAGUGCAAUUUAGACCAGGAAUUGCCAAUUCCCUGCUAUCUGCUGCUGUCACACCCUCUCUGUCUGUUUCAGCUUCUUCAACAACUUUUUGGUUGCAAACAGUUAGUUGAUCUUUUGCAGUGACAAGUUUGACAUUAACCUCUUGCAAUUGUUGAAAAUGCUCAGAUGUGGUCUCUUCUUCACGUUCAGAAUUCCGUGAGUUCUUCAACAUAAACUCAAUUUGAGUGCUAUCUUUUUGAAGUAGACAGCUAGAGUCAACUUGCUUAUCUCCAUUGCAAACACUAGUUUCAGAACCAGAGGAGCUGUCCUUUGGACCAGUCAUAGAAUCUGAUAUUUC